AGUUGAGCGCUGAAGGUUGGUACUUGUACCGACUGGAUGAGCAGCGAACGGGUGAGUAACGCGUGGGGAAUCUGCCUUUGAGCGGGGGACAACAUUUGGAAACGAAUGCUAAUACCGCAUAAAAACUUUAAACACAAGUUUUAAGUUUGAAAGAUGCAAUUGCAUCACUCAAAGAUGAUCCCGCGUUGUAUUAGCUAGUUGGUGAGGUAAAGGCUCACCAAGGCGAUGAUACAUAGCCGACCUGAGAGGGUGAUCGGCCACAUUGGGACUGAGACACGGCCCAAACUCCUACGGGAGGCAGCAGUAGGGAAUCUUCGGCAAUGGACGAAAGUCUGACCGAGCAACGCCGCGUGAGUGAAGAAGGUUUUCGGAUCGUAAAACUCUGUUGGUAGAGAAGAACGUUGGUGAGAGUGGAAAGCUCAUCAAGUGACGGUAACUACCCAGAAAGGGACGGCUAACUACGUGCCAGCAGCCGCGGUAAUACGUAGGUCCCGAGCGUUGUCCGGAUUUAUUGGGCGUAAAGCGAGCGCAGGUGGUUUAUUAAGUCUGGUGUAAAAGGCAGUGGCUCAACCAUUGUAUGCAUUGGAAACUGGUAGACUUGAGUGCAGGAGAGGAGAGUGGAAUUCCAUGUGUAGCGGUGAAAUGCGUAGAUAUAUGGAGGAACACCGGUGGCGAAAGCGGCUCUCUGGCCUGUAACUGACACUGAGGCUCGAAAGCGUGGGGAGCAAACAGGAUUAGAUACCCUGGUAGUCCACGCCGUAAACGAUGAGUGCUAGAUGUAGGGAGCUAUAAGUUCUCUGUAUCGCAGCUAACGCAAUAAGCACUCCGCCUGGGGAGUACGACCGCAAGGUUGAAACUCAAAGGAAUUGACGGGGGCCCGCACAAGCGGUGGAGCAUGUGGUUUAAUUCGAAGCAACGCGAAGAACCUUACCAGGUCUUGACAUACUCGUGCUAUUCCUAGAGAUAGGAAGUUCCUUCGGGACACGGGAUACAGGUGGUGCAUGGUUGUCGUCAGCUCGUGUCGUGAGAUGUUGGGGUUAAGUCCCGCAACGAGCGCAACCCCUAUUGUUAGUUGCCAUCAUUAAGUUGGGCACUCUAACGAGACUGCCGGUGAUAAACCGGAGGAAGGUGGGGAUGACGUCAAAUCAUCAUGCCCCUUAUGACCUGGGCUACACACGUGCUACAAUGGAUGGUACAACGAGUCGCGAGACAGUGAUGUUUAGCUAAUCUCUUAAAACCAUUCUCAGUUCGGAUUGUAGGCUGCAACUCGCCUACAUGAAGUCGGAAUCGCUAGUAAUCGCGGAUCAGCACGCCGCGGUGAAUACGUUCCCGGGCCUUGUACACACCGCCCGUCACACCACGGGAGUUGGGAGUACCCGAAGUAGGUGCCUAACCGCAAGGAGGGC
rnacentral:rRNA from 1 species